rnacentral:lncRNA from 1 species
CAAUGAUAAGGGAGGCUUCCGUGGCAGAGUGAAAAGCACACACCUGAGAAAUGAAAAGAAAUGGCAAAGGUCACACGUCUCAGGAUGAAUUGCACUGUGUGUGACACCCUAGCUGAAAUCCUAUCCCACAGGACCAUCAUGACCACUUCUUCCUUAAAGAUACAGUGUUGACAUCAUCUCUUCCAUUCACGGAGGCUUCCCAACUCUUCCAGGCAGAGUGAGUCAUCCAUUUCCCUGGGCUCCUCCGGCAUCUCAUAGAGACUUCUGUUGUGGAUUCCCCUGCUCUGUGCCACAAUGAUGUGUCGACAAGUUUGUCUCUCCCACAAUAUACACUGUGAGAUUCUUUAAAACAGAGAUGGUGUCAUGAAUUUCU